rnacentral:rRNA from 1 species
CAAUAGCGUAUAUUAAAGUUGUUGCGGUUAAAAGCUCGUAGUUGGAUUUCUGUCUGAGGCGGCCGGUCCACUUUCUGAGUGAGCAUCUGGUCCGCUUUGGGCAUCCUCCUGGGGAACGUUUCCGCGCUUGAUUGUGUGGUACGGAAUCUAGGACUUUUACUUUGAGGAAAUUAGAGUGUUCACUGCAGGCAUACGCCUUGAAUACGUUAGCAUGGAAUAAUAAGAUAGGACCUCGGUUCUAUUUUUUCGGUUUCUAGAGCUGAGGUAAUGAUUAACAGGGAUAGUUGGGGGCAUUCGUAUUUAACUGUCAGAGGUGAAAUUCUUGGAUUUGUUAAAGACGAACUACUGACGAAGCUAUUUGCCGAAGGAUUGUUUUCUAUUGAUACAAAGAAACGUAAAGGUUAGGGGA